GGGUGAGUGGCGGAACUGGUAUACGCGCAUGACUUAGGAUCAUGUGGGGUUACCCGUGCGGGUUCGAGUCCCGCCUCGCCCA
rnacentral:tRNA from 1 species